UACGUAGGUGGCAAGCGUUGUCCGGAAUUAUUGGGCGUAAAGCGCGCGCAGGCGGUCUUUUAAGUCUGAUGUGAAAGCCCACGGCUCAACCGUGGAGGGUCAUUGGAAACUGGGAGACUUGAGUGCAGAAGAGAAGAGUGGAAUUCCACGUGUAGCGGUGAAAUGCGUAGAGAUGUGGAGGAACACCAGUGGCGAAGGCAGCUCGCUGGGACGGUACUGACGCUGAGACGCGAAAGCGUGGGGAGCAAACAGG
rnacentral:rRNA from 1 species